AUUGAACGCUAGCGGGAUGCCUUACACAUGCAAGUCGAACGGAGUGGCGAACGGGUGAGUAAUGUAUCGGAACGUGCCCAGUAGCGGGGGAUAACUACGCGAAAGCGUAGCUAAUACCGCAUACUAUUGGAGCGGCCGAUAUGUGAUUAGCUAGUUGGUGGGGUAACGGCUCACCAAGGCGACGACCCGUAGCUGGUUUGAGAGGACGACCGGCCAAACUGGGACUAGGACACGGCCCGGACUCCUAAGGUGGGCAGCGUUGGGGAAUUUUGGACAAGGGGGGAAACCCUGAUCAAGCCAUCCCGCGUGUGCGAUGAAGGCCUUCGGGUUGUAAAGCACUUUUGUCAGGAAAGCGGUACCUGCAGAAUAAGCACCGGCUAACUACGUGCCAGCAGCCGCGGUAAUUC
rnacentral:rRNA from 1 species